UACGUAGGGUGCAAGCGUUGUCCGGAAUUACUGGGCGUAAAGGGCUCGUAGGCGGCCAACUAAGUCAGACGUGAAAUCCCUCGGCUUAACCGGGGAACUGCGUCUGAUACUGGAUGGCUAGAGUUUGGGAGAGGGAUGCGGAAUUCCAGGUGUAGCGGUGAAAUGCGUAGAUAUCUGGAGGAACACCGGUGGCGAAGGCGGCAUCCUGGACCAACACUGACGCUGAGGAGCGAAAGCCAGGGGAGCAAACGGGG
rnacentral:rRNA from 1 species